CGGAGCUGGAAUUUCUUAGAGGAAGUAGCCGGUCAGGCAGAACAGCUGACAGCAUCCACCGCUGAUCUAUACUGUUCCUCGUCCUUCCAGGGAUCAGCAUGAAUAAAGCCUUUCAUGAAGCGGAGCAUGGCUGAAUUUCUCCCGUGUGUAACACAUGGAGUUCAAAGCUUCACACACCUGGAAACAGCAGCAGCGUUAUGUCACUGCUGCAGGUUUGUGAUGAAGUGGAGUGAAAACAUCCAGCUUUGGGAAAGAAGUGACAAAGAUUUGACUGCGUCUGCAAAAAGUGCUUCACCUGCCUCCAGAGAAAUCUCUGCCAUACCAGCUGUACCUGGAGGCCAGAGAGGAGGCUCUCGUUGAAGAGUUACCAGGAGUUAACAGGUAUUGACUCUUUAUAUUUCUCCCAUACGUCUAUAAGGAGAACAUGAACCUUUUUAUCCCUCUUGGAGACUCUGAUGCAGACAUGUGGUGUUUAACUGAACCAAACACACACA